rnacentral:ncRNA from 1 species
UGGAUAACUUUGCGGUAUCUGCACGGUCUAGCACCCGGCGGACGGAUCAUUCAAGUGUCUGGCCCUAUCAACUUUUCGUCGGUACGGUAUUUGCCUACCGAGGUUCUUACGGGUGACGGGGAAUCAGGGUUCGAUUCCGGAGAGGGAGCCUGAGAAACGGCUACCACAUCCAAGGAAGGCAGCAGGCGCGCAAAUUACCCAUUCCCGACGCGGGGAGGUAGUGACGAAAAAUAACAAUGCAGGACUCGUUCGAGGCCCUGUAAUUGGAAUGAGUACACUUUAAAAGCUUUAACGAGUAUCCAUUGGAGGGCAAGUCUGGUGCCAGCAGCCGCGGUAAUUCCAGCUCCAAAAGUAUAUAUUUAAGUUGUUGCGGUUAAAAAGCUCGUAGUUGGAUUUUGGGCGCAGGCGGCCGGUCCGUCGCAAGGCGUGUACUGGACGUCCUGGCCUUCCCUCCGGUUCUCCGCCGGUGCUCUUGACUGAGUGUCGGCGGCGGCCGGAACGUUUACUUUGAAAAAAUUAGAGUGUUCAAAGCAGGCUCUCGAGCCUGGAUAAUGGUGCAUGGAAUAAUGGAAUAGGACCUCGGUUCUAUUUUGUUGGUUUUCGGAGCGCGAGGUAAUGAUUAAGAGGGACAGACGGGGGCAUUCGUACUGUGCCGUUAGAGGUGAAAUUCUUGGAUCGGCGCAAGACGAACGACUGCGAAAGCAUUUGCCAAGAAUGUUUUCUUUAAUCAAGAGCGAAAGUCAGAGGUUCGAAGACGAUCAGAUACCCGUCCUAGUUCUGACUAUAAACGAUGCCCACUAGCGAUCGGGGGGCGUUACAUUGACAACCC